UAUCAGAUAAACCACAAAUUAACCACACUGAAUAAGUGUAACCAACCAAAAAGGAAAAAAAAAUGGUGAGUUGGUUUAGUACAAGGUAGCCCUGCUGCCCUAAGUACAUCAGAUAUGGAGAUGAAUUAAAGUUUAUCCUGAUUUAUUUGAUCAGGGCAGAAUAAGGGCUUCCUGAGUUAAAGGUGAUAUAUGUAGAAACCCCCAGUAAUUAUAUCAUGAUCAAAACAAAUACAAGGAUAGAAUACAUGUGCCUAAGUUAUCAGAAUAAGCUUUAUCAUUCUAGAACAAAAGCACUAGAUGAGCCGGUGAAAUGGCGAACAGAACCCAGAAGGCUCUUUGCAGCACCAAAAUGUCUUAUUC
rnacentral:misc_RNA from 1 species